rnacentral:rRNA from 1 species
UACGUAGGGUGCAAGCGUUGUCCGGAAUUAUUGGGCGUAAAGAGCUCGUAGGCGGUUUGUCGCGUCUGCUGUGAAAACCCGAGGCUCAACCUCGGGCCUGCAGUGGGGUACGGGCAGACUAGAGUGGCGGUAGGGGAGAUUGGAAUUCCUGGUGUAGCGGUGGAAUGCGCAGAUAUCGAGGAGGAACACCGAUGGCGAAGG